ensembl:miRNA
AGCCUUUAGCAAGUUGUAAUCUUUUUGCUGAUGGAGGGUCUUGCCUCCAUGUGGAUGGCUGAUGAUGAUGGUGCUGAAGGC